AUUGAACGCUGGCGGCAUGCUUUACACAUGCAAGUCGAGCGGCAGCGCGGGGGCAACCCUGGCGGCGAGCGGCGAACGGGUGAGUAAUGCAUCGGAACGUACCCUGGAGUGGGGGAUAACGCCGCGAAAGCGGCGCUAAUACCGCAUAUGCUCUGAGGAGGAAAGUGGGGGACCGCAAGGCCUCACGCUCUGGGAGCGGCCGAUGUCCGAUUAGCUAGUUGGUGGGUAAAGGCUUACCAAGGCGACGAUCGGUAGCUGGUCUGAGAGGAUGAUCAGCCACACUGGGACUGAGACACGGCCCAGACUCCUACGGGAGGCAGCAGUGGGGAAUUUUGGACAAUGGGGGCAACCCUGAUCCAGCCAUGCCGCGUGAGUGAAGAAGGCCUUCGGGUUGGUUAAA
rnacentral:rRNA from 1 species